rnacentral:misc_RNA from 1 species
AGCAGCCGCGGUAAUUCCAGCUCCAAUAGCGUAUAUUAAAGUUGUUGCAGUUAAAAAGCUUGUAGUUGAAUUUCGGGAUUGACACAUCGGUCGUGCCUUAAGGGGUAUGAACUGGUGUAGUCAAUUUCUCACCUUCUGGAGAACCGCGAUGCCCUUAAUUGGGUGUCGCGGGGAACCAGGACCUUUACUUUGAAAAAUUAGAGUGUUUAAAGCAGGCAUUUUGCUUGAAUACAUUAGCAUGGAAUAAUAAAAUAGGACGGCAUGAUUCUAUUUUGUUGGUUUCUAGGAUCACCGUAAUGAUUAAUAGGGAUAGUUGGGGGCAUUAGUAUUCAAUUGUCAGAGGUGAAAUUCUUGGAUUUAUUGAAGACUAACUACUGCGAAAGCAUUUGCCAAGGAUGUUUUCGUUAAUCAAGAACGAAAGUUAGGGGAUCGAAGACGAUCAGAUACCGUCGUAGUCUUAACCAUAAACUAUGCCGACUAGGAAUCAGACGAUGUUAAUUUUUAAUGUACUCGUUUGGCA